AAGACCGGCGGAGAAUCCAGGAAGCAUGGGAACUGGGAUAUUACUCACUCCAUAUUGACUUUCCCAGGAUCAGGGAGGACAACCCCCGGUCCGGACAGCGCCGGUGCAAAUAACAUCAUGUACCGCGUUGUCCUGCCGCUAGUAGUAUUCCUAUUGGUCGCCGCCGUGAUU